rnacentral:rRNA from 1 species
UACGAAGGGAGCUAGCGUUGUUCGGAAUCACUGGGCGUAAAGCGCACGUAGGCGGAUGUGUCAGUCAGGGGUGAAAUCCCGGAGCUCAACUUCGGAACUGCCCUUGAUACAGCACGUCUUGAGUCCGGAAGAGGUGGGUGGAAUUCCUAGUGUAGAGGUGAAAUUCGUAGAUAUUAGGAAGAACACCGGUGGCGAAGGCGGCCCACUGGUCCGGUAUUGACGCUGAGGCGCGAAAGCCAGGGGAGCAAACGGG